rnacentral:lncRNA from 12 species
AAAGGGAAGGGACUGACAUGUAAGAACCCCAUGCAAAGAGCAUUUAUUACCUAUUUUAACUUCUUACAGCAAGCCUUUCUGGGUGAUAGCAUUUACUGCCCCGCCCUCUUAAUAGGUGGGGAUAUUGAGGUUCAGAGAAGGUAAGCAACCUGCCCAGUGUGUCACAGCUACUAGGGCUGGGACCUACAUCACUGACCUUCCUCUCUCCUGACCAUCUGCUCAGGGGUUCCUUUACAGGGUGCAUAUUUGACAGCUCUGCUAGCCUUUGCCAAAAGCCUUAAGCCUGCCAGGGUUAGGAAUGCCUGGAUAGGCAGGUAACUCUUCCUGGAGGACAGAGGGAGAAAGUUGGGGAGAGGAUCAGGCCUGAGUGUGCAGAGGAAGGCACUAGCAAACCCCUCUCCAGUCAGUGUAAGUGAUGCCCUAACAAUUCAUUCAGUUACGUUAAGCACCCAUUAGAGGAGUCCUAAGUCCUCCCUUGGGCCAUUUCAGUUCUAUGAGAUUGUAAUUGUUUGAGACUAACCAUGAUUUCUUCUUUUGCCUUCAGGUGAUUCUCAUUUUGACAAAGCUCUAUGACUAUAACCUGGGGAGCAUCACUGAGAGCUCGCUUUGGAGGAGCCAAAGAACAUUCUCAGAUUCUGUGUCACUUUGUGACACCAUGGAAGGUGGGAAUGAGCCAACACCGUCAUCAUUUAUAGUUGAUAAAAUGAAGGCCGAAGGAGCUGGUCUGUGAUAUAGGAAACAACAGAAAACUGUGUUGGUGAGCACAUAGUUUGUGGCUUUGUCUGCACAGCUGUUCCAUCUUUGGGUAUAGUGUAUCUGUAUGUGAGAGAAAGUACAUAGAAAUACAGGUUGUGCAGUAAAUUGCCCCCACAUUAGGAAACAAGACAUUUGUAAUGAGUAUUAUAGUCAUUUAAACAUUACAGGACAUAACUUAAGAAAGUAAAUCUCUAAAGAAGAAAAAAACAAACCAAAAAACAGAUGCUUAACUAUAGAGAAUAGAUGAUGAUCAGAGGGGAGGUGGAUGGAAGAUGGGUGAAAUAGGUGAUGGGGAUUAAGAGGACACUUACCCUGAUGAGCACUGAGUUAUAUGUGGAAUUGCUGAAUCACUAUAUUGUUUACCUGAAACGAAUAUAACACUGUAUAUCAACUGCACUGUAAUUAAAAUUUUUAAAAAGGGGCGCCUGGGUGGCUCAGCCAGUUGAGUAUCUGACUUCAGGUUGUGAUCUUGGGGUCCUGGGAUUGAGCCCCAUGUUGGGCUCCCUCCCUCCCAAGCUCCCUGCUUGUCCCUCUCCCUCUGCCCUCCCUUUGCCCCUUUCCUUGCUCCUGCUUUGUCGUUCUUUCUCUCAAAUAAGUAAAAUCUUUUAAAAACAAUUUUUUUUUAAAGUAAAGACAAUAGGGGCACCUGGGUGGCACAGUCAGUUAAGUGUCCAGCUCUUGGUUUUGGGUCAGAUUAUGAUCUCAGGGUCCUGAGAUUGAGCCCCACAUUGGGCUUCCUGCUCUGCAUGGAUUCUGCUUCAGUUUCUCUCUUCAUUUCCCUCUGCCCCCUACCACCACAUGUGCACUCUUGCUCUCUAAAAUAAAGAUAAAUAAAUAUUUUUAAAAUAAUAAAAA